CUCCAUCAAUGAUGCAUUAAAUUUACCUACAUUGUUUGACUUAAGCAUGAUAGGAACUUAUUAUCUGAGAUGGAG